CUCGGGAGGCUGAGGCAGGAGGAUCUUUGCGAAUUUGAGACCAGUUUGAGCUACAAAGUGAGCCCAAGGCCAGCCUGAGCUGCACAGCGAGACCCUGUCUCAGAAAAACAAAGGACCAGAGUGCAGCUUGGUAGCCAGGAGCUCCCCAGUCGCAGCAGCCAAGGAUGUCCCCAGCCACGGCCCAGGAUCCCCACUCGAGACGCCCUGCUCCGGGCUCCCCAUGUUUGGCACCACAAGGUCCCCUCUCUUCUUGGGGCUCCGGCCAGGCUGACCUGCGGGAGGAGGAAGCCCCCACCUAGCCCGGCCUGCAGAGUCCCCUGAUGGCAGGACACACGGACUUUGCCCAAACCUGCCUGCAGACCCCGGAGACCACCAAGGCAGUGACCGGGCCACUGAAUGCCAAUAAAACUUUAUUUUGGACGUGCAA